rnacentral:rRNA from 1 species
AUACGGAGGGUGCAAGCGUUACUCGGAAUCACUGGGCGUAAAGCGCGCGCAGGCGGCUAUUUAAGUUGGAUGUGAAAGCCUACGGCUCAACCGUAGAACUGCAUCCAAAACUAUUUAGCUAGAGUGUGGGAGAGGAAGAUGGAAUUAGUUGUGUAGGGGUAAAAUCCGUAGAGAUAACUAGGAAUACCAAAAGCGAAGGCAACCUUCUGGAACACUACUGACGCUGAGGCGCAAAAGCGUGGGGAGCAAACAGGAUUAGAUACCCUAGUAGUCC